rnacentral:rRNA from 1 species
GGAUGUGAUGGGGAGCGAAAUUUAGUAGCGAAGUAGCUGAUUUCACACUGUCAAGAAAAGUCUCUAUCGAGGUUAAAGGUACCCGUACCGCAAACCGACACAGGUGGGUGAGGAGAGUAUCCUAAGGCCAGCGAGAGAACUGUUGUUAAGGAACUCGGCAAAAUGACCCCGUAACUUAGGGAUAAGGGGUGCCACCAUCAGGUGGCCGCAGAGAAUAGGCCCAAGCGACUGUUUACCAAAAACAUAGGUUUCUGCUAAGUCGCAAGACGAUGUAUAGGAGCUGACGCCUGCCCGGUGCUGGAAGGUUAAGGGGAUCUGUUAGAGCAAUCGAAGCAGUGAACUUAAGCCCCAGUAAACGGCGGCCGUAACUAUAACGGUCCUAAGGUAGCGAAAUUCCUUGUCGGGUAAGUUCCGACCCGCACGAAAGGCGUAACGAUUUGGGCACUGUCUCAACAACAGACUCGGUGAAAUUGUAAUUCCGGUGAAGAUGCCGGAUACCUGCGACAGGACGGAAAGACCCCAUGGAGCUUUACUGUAGCUUGACAUUGGGUCUUGGUACUACAUGUACAGGAUAGGUG